rnacentral:lncRNA from 1 species
AUAUUUAAUUUUUAAGUUGAUUAUUGUUCCAUUUUUCAGAAAGCAAAUGGACUUGGGUUUACUUUUUUAUAUAAAUUUAAUGGAGUAUUUUGAUUAAAAGAUUUUGUUUAAUUAACAAAUGGGAUAUCCUCAUACAGAAACAUCAGAAUCACAUCCCAAUCAAUCACACUGAAAAUCACUUAGAGACUUUCCAAGUCAACAGGGGUUGAAUUAUAUUAAGUGGUGUUUCGAUAUAGAGAGUAAAUUCUGUUUCCUCUGAGAAUAAUAGCACAACUGUCAGUAAGAGCCCUUACCCCUCUACACCAAAGUCAUUUACUUUUAUGGAUUUGCUCUGGUGUCUAAUAAAAGCAGUGUGUGUGUUAACUGACUUAACUCAACCACUUAAUUUCCUUGGGGGAAGCACAUGACUUGUCUGUUCUUUCAAACCGUAACUCCUGACAUGUCUAGAACAGCAAAUGUCCUUUUUGUGAGGGUAUGUAGAGCACAGUGUUUAAAUCCCGAUGACUGCUUAUAGGUGCUGUGUAGCUCUGAGAAACCAGCAUUAGGAUAAAAUGUGAAGAGGAAGAUCAAGUACAGCUGUGAUGACAGAGAGGAGUGUCUGACUCAGUCCACCUCCAUUGAGCAAUGCUAGUCCUCAUGGUUAGUGUUUCUACAGCUGGGAUCCAACACCAGAAGCAAUUUUCUCUCUUGGAUUAAACUACCUCACACACGGAAGUCAGGUUAGGAACUCAAGGCAGGAGCAUGGAGGCAGGAACUGAAGCAGAAGCUAUGGAUGGAUGCUGCUUGCUUGUUGGCUUGCUUGCUCAGAGCAUGCUCAGAUUAGCUUCUUAAUACCAUCCGGGACCAACAGCCCAGGGUUGCUACCACUCAUGGUAGGCUGCGCCCUUCCACAUCAAUCAUGACUCAAGCAUAUGCCCCCAUAGGCUUGCCUGAAGGGAAAUCUGGUGAGGGCAUUUUUUCCAAUGAAGUUCCUACUUCUCAAAUGACUAGCUUGUGGCAAGUUGAAACCAGACUAACCAGGACUUCUUCAGCUGAAUAAUCAUUCAAUCAUUCAUCAUUGAAACAAUCAUUUCGAGUUACAUUAAUUUGGAAUCCUUUCAUGGGCCAAAUCACUUGCAAACAGGGAACUCCUAAUAGCAAGUGGGCUCUGGGAUUCUUAGAGAAUAGAUACAGACAUUGUUGCAAACAGGGAUAAAAAUUCAGGAGUUCGAAAAGGAAUUUUCCUAUUCCCUUCUUAACCAUCCAUGCACAGGACAACAGUCUAGCGACAAUAGCUAGCUCUUGUUCUCCUGGGAUACUUGUACUCCCUCUCUUCCUAUAUCUGGUGGGCUUCCUUUCUCACCUUUUAUUUGGCUUGCAAUUCUGGGCUAUCCUUUUAGAGCCUGCAAAAGAAAUUUAAAAAGCGAGAAAAAAACACUUCCCUUUGCAAAAUAUGAUUUGGCGUUUGUUGGUUUCCUGUAAUCCCAAUCACAUGGCUUGCUCAGAAUCACAUGGCUUGCUCAGAAUCAAUCACAUGGCUUGCCUGGAUGCAUUCAAAGUCAAGCAAGGGAGUGUCUGGCUGAUGUUUUCUGUUUUGGUAUAGAGAUGCAACAAUGAAAAAAGCCUGAGUGUGUAUCACAAGAAUAUUUCUUUGGUUUCUUAUAAAGCUAAAAUAAUAUUCUUAUAAAACUGCUGUAUCUAUCUAAGUAAGUAUGUGUGUGUGUAUCCAUCAUCUAUUGAUCUACCAUCUAUCUGUAUGUAUGCAUAUACAUAUUCUUCUCUAGUUAUUCUAUAAAUGAAUUAAAAUUUUCAAAUUAAAUAACAAAUUAAUGAUAACUUGAUUUCUAAAAUAGGAAACUAAAUAAAAUGAUAGUAACUAUAUAUGAUGUGUAAGUUUUGGCUCAUUUAUAAUUUUCAGUAAAUUUAAAAAGAAAGAAUAAUUUUUAAUUGUGUUCAUACAAAAUGGAAAUUAUUUAUUUUUCAUUUAUGUUUAUGAAUGUUUGGAUUGAAUAUAGGCAUGUGCGCCAUGUAUGUACACUGAGCCCACAGAGAUUAUAAGAGGUUGUUGGAUUCUAUGGAACUAGAAUUAUGGGUGGUCCUGAGCCACCUUAUGGGAGCUGGGGACCAAACCCAGGUCCUCUGUAAGAGAAACACACAUUCUUAACUGAUGAACCAUCCCCCUGGCCUCAAUAUUAGCUUGUUUUUUACUUUCUGAAACUUAUGGGAAUAUUUUCAUUUUCUGGCAUGAAAAUAUGAUAAAAAUAAGUUUACAUAGAUGAGGCUAUUGUCAGUUAUUCUGCUUCUGGGAAAGUAUUUACCCAAAGGUUUUCUCACUAGGAGCAAUGGGCAUAAUUUUUAUCUUAAUGACUUUUCCUAAUAAUGAUUUUAGUAUCAAAUAAUUGAAUGCUUAUUACUUUAAACAGACAUUAAUGACAUCAUGGAAGUCAGACCGAUUGGCUGAGUUUAGAAAGCAAAGGAACAUUUUUUUAAGUAUAAGAGGACUGAGGUUCGUAUUACCUAAUUUCCUAGGUCCCAGAGUGUAAAUCUUAUGAGUUUACGUAUGAAUAGCAGUGAAGGUUACAUCAUUCUAGGAAAAGAAGAAAUAUCCCAGUACCACUGACUAGGUGCCAUAAUUUUUGGUGUUAGGUCACUGUUCCUUUAAUACACUGCUCAUCCCAGUGAACGUUCUAAGUUCGCCAUUUCCGAAAGUUCUUUGGUUAAUGCCACAGGCAGUGCCAUGUAGAUAGGAAACAUGGGAUCAUAAAAAAUAAUAAAAUUGUUCGGAAUAAAGCAAAAGGAGAUUCUUUUUUUUUUCUCCUUUUCUCUGAUUUGAAUCCAUGCUAAUUAUACAGAGAGACAAAGAAAUGUUCAAAGGGGUGUGGCCAGUGGGUGGCACAUUGGUUAAGGAAGAAUAUUUCUCUUGCAGGGGAAUCUUGACAGCAUCACUAUUUCAUGUCUCCCAGCCACAGCCUAGAACUGUAGACCCAUGAGAGAUGAUACCCUUUUCUGGACUCUUUGAGAACCUACACAGACUGGCACAAGCCCACACAGAAUCACAAGCGCAAACACACACACACAAACAUACAUACCACAAGCGCACAUGCCCAUACCUGCACACAUAAAUGC